GUAGAUCGAAUUUUUGGGUUGCAAAAACAAAAAGAAAAUAUAUAAAAACAAAUCAGGAAAAAAAAAGGGGCAUACCUCGUUUGAGAGAGAGGGGCGAUGCGGAGCGCACGGGGUGUGGGCCUUUCCAUACAGAGGGAAAAGAGUGACCGCAGGGAGUGCAGGCGGGGGGUGCGGCAAGGUUCAGAGGUGAGCAAUAAGGAGUGUGAGAGAAGGGGAGAUAAAGAGAAAGAGAAAACACGAAAGAGAAAGAGAGUAAGAUGGGGAGAGAUAGGAGAGAGCGCACGAAGAGAGAGAGCGCACGACUUAACGGAUGUUUUUUUAUUAAUCCUCCUUUAAGUCACAGCACGGAUCUCAAAGUGAUCCAAUGGUAAAAAGCUCACUAGCACGAGUCAGGCUAUGCUAGUAAUAGCACACCAGCCUGACUCUAUAGAGCUAGGCUGGUAUACUAUCAGUAGCACGAAGGCCUCCGUGCUACCAAGUUGUUUUCAAUGAUGUAGCUUCCAAAUUGACAAUCAGCUCCGUUAAAUUUGAUCUACACUAUUGAAAGUAUUUGAAAAUUAAAUUUCAUAAUUUUUCGACAUCAUUUACCUAUCAAACAAGUGGUCUAAAAAUGAACUGCUGAAAAUAAAAUUUAAGCUCAGAAGUACUGAUCUUACUCUAAAUAGUGAAAAAAAUUUUCUAUAAAAAUUUCAUCAGAUUUGAAUGGUUUUACACCGUUAAAUUCACAAACUCAUCACAUCAACUAUUAAAAUUGUCAAUUUUGAGACCUUUUGAUCACUAACCAAAUGAUUGCAAAAAAUUAUAAAAUUUAGUUUCCAAAUACUUUUAAUAGUGUAGAUCAAGUCUAACGGAGCCGAUCGUCGAUUUGGAAGCCGCAUCAUUGAAAACAACUUGGUAGCACGCGUGCUACCGAUAGUAUACCCCUCUCUCUCUCUUUCUCUCUAUAUAUAUAUACGGAAUUAUUGGUGCUAUUAGUUUUUUAGCCCUUGGAUUGAGAAAUGUGCGGUUAGGAUGAUGUGGGCCCCCCUAGGGUUGAGUGAGUGGUUGGUUGAAUAGUAUAAUCUAAUGGGUAAAAAUAAUUAAAGGGGUUAAUCUAACGGCAGAAAACUUGAUAGCACCAAGUGUUUGGUGCUAUCGAUAGCAUAGCAGCCGGACU
rnacentral:lncRNA from 1 species